CGGUGGUUCCGGUCCUGCAGCUCCGCUUCAGAACCAGUCUGUGCUGACUUCAGUCCGUGGAGGUCCAGGAAAAGUGCACUUUACCGCAGUUCUACGGAGGACAAACCGGUUAACGGAAUGAGCCGAAGUGUCGAAGACAUCCAGGGGUCCGGUGGUUCCGGUGGUUCCGGUGGGUCCGUCCGCCCUCCGCAGCUGCCUCCAGAUCAUGUGCUCAGCUCCGGAGCCGUUUUCUUCCCCGGUGCUUUGAUCAGCAUGGCUUCCCUCUGAUCGUGUUCCCAGUGGACGGACA